AGCAGCAGCCAUGGCCCUGCAUGACCCCAUGGCCAUGGGCCUCAACAAGGGCCACAAGGUGACCAAGAAUGUGAGCAAGCCAAGACACAGCUGCCACCGCUGGCACCUGACCCAACACACCAAGUUCGUGCGGGACAUGAUCCCAGAGGUGUGCAGCUUCACCCGCAACAAGCGGUGCACCACGGAGCUGCUCAAGGUCUCCAAGGACAAGCGGGUGCUCAAGUUCAUCAAGAAACGGGUGGGGACGCACAUCCGCGCCAAGAGGAAUCGCAAGGAGCUGAGCAACGUGCUGGCCGCCAUAAGGAAGGCUGCAGUCAAGAAGGACUGA